CACCUGGAUUUUUUCAAAUCCACCUAAAUGUCAUAUAAGUAGAAAU
rfam:Monodelphis domestica chromosome 8, whole genome shotgun sequence.